GUGCUUAAGUUGCACUCUUACUGUAAAUAUGGGCAAACAUCAAUUGGUGAAUCUAGGUGGGCUUUUGCUUAGACUUGUAGGGCCCAUAAAGGGAUCACCUUACACAU